rnacentral:rRNA from 1 species
UACGAAGGGGGCUAGCGUUGCUCGGAAUCACUGGGCGUAAAGGGUGCGUAGGCGGGUCUUUAAGUCAGGGGUGAAAUCCUGGAGCUCAACUCCAGAACUGCCUUUGAUACUGGCGAUCUCGAGUUCGGGAGAGGUGAGUGGAACUGCGAGUUGUAGAGGUGAAAUUCGUAGAUAUUCGCAAGAACACCAGUGGCGAAGGCGGCUCACUGGCCCGAGUACUGACGCUGAGGUGCGAAAGCGUGGGGAGCAACAGGGAU